rnacentral:rRNA from 1 species
CUUGCAGGGUACUCGAGUGGCGAACGGGUGAGUAACACGUGGGUGAUCUGCCCUGCACUUCGGGAUAAGCUUGGGAAACUGGGUCUAAUACCGGAUAGGAGCCAUCUUUAGUGUGGUGGUUGGAAAGUUUUUUCGGUGUAGGAUGAGCUCGCGGCCUAUCAGCUUGUUGGUGGGGUAAUGGCCUACCAAGGCGGCGACGGGUAGCCGGCCUGAGAGGGUGUACGGCCACAUUGGGACUGAGAUACGGCCCAGACUCCUACGGGAGGCAGCAGUGGGGAAUAUUGCACAAUGGGCGCAAGCCUGAUGCAGCGACGCCGCGUGGGGGAUGAAGGCCUUCGGGUUGUAAACUCCUUUCGCUAGGGACGAAGCUUUUUUGUGACGGUACCUAGAUAAGAAGCACCGGCUAACUAC